rnacentral:rRNA from 1 species
CACUCCUGCGGGAGGCAGCAGUGGGGAAUAUUGGACAAUGGGCGCAAGCCUGAUCCAGCCAUGCCGCGUGAGUGAUGAAGGCCCUAGGGUUGUAAAGCUCUUUCACCGGUGAAGAUAAUGACGGUAACCGGAGAAGAAGCCCCGGCUAACUUCGUGCCAGCAGCCGCGGUAAUACGAAGGGGGCUAGCGUUGUUCGGAUUUACUGGGCGUAAAGCGCACGUAGGCGGACUAUUAAGUCAGGGGUGAAAUCCCGGGGCUCAACCCCGGAACUGCCUUUGAUACUGGUAGUCUUGAGUUCGAGAGAGGUGAGUGGAAUUCCGAGUGUAGAGGUGAAAUUCGUAGAUAUUCGGAGGAACACCAGUGGCGAAGGCGGCUCACUGGCUCGAUACUGACGCUGAGGUGCGAAAGCGUGGGGAGCAAACAGGAUUAGAAACCCCGGUAGUCCCAAUGAU